AAUUAAUAAGUUUUAUAACAUAUGUUUUGAAAACAUAAAAAAGAAAUUAAAAAUUUCUAUUAAUUU
rnacentral:tRNA from 1 species